UACGUAGGGGGCAAGCGUUGUCCGGAUUUAUUGGGCGUAAAGAGCUCGUAGGCGGUGUGUCGCGUCGGCCGUGAAAACCUGCAGCUUAACUGUGGGCUUGCGGUCGAUACGGCAUCACUGGAGUUCGGCAGGGAGACUGGAAUUCCUGGUGUAGCGGUGAAAUGCGCAGAUAUCAGGAGGAACACCGGUGGCGAAGGCGGGUCUCUGG
rnacentral:rRNA from 1 species